AGAAUCAACGCUGGCGGCGUGCCUAACACAUGCAAGUCGAACGCGAAUCUGGGAAACUAGGUUUGAGUGGCGUCCGGGUGAGUAACACGUGGAUAAUCUGCCUGAGGGUGGGGAAUAACUUUCCGAAAGGGAAGCUAAUACCGCAUAACAUUAUUUCGAGGAAUCUUGGAGUAAUCAAAGUGAGGGACCGCAAGGCCACACGCCAACAGAGGAGUCUGCGGCUGAUUAGCUAGUUGGUGAGGUAAAGGCUCACCAAGGCGACGAUCAGUA
rnacentral:rRNA from 1 species